AUUGAACGCUGGCGGCAGGCCUAACACAUGCAAGUCGAGCGAUCGGCGGACGGGUGAGUAAUGUAUGGGGAUCUGCCCGAUAGAGGGGGAUAACUACUGGAAACGUUGGCUAAUACCGCAUACUAUCGGAUGACCCCAUAUGGGAUUAGCUCGUCGGUGGGGUAAAGGCUCACCUCGGCGACGAUCUCUAGCUGGUCUGAGCGGAUGAUCGGGCACACUGGGACUGAGACACGGCCCAGAGGCCUACGGGAGGCAGGAGGGGGGAAUAGUGCACAAUGGGCGAAAGCCUGAUGCAGCCAUGCCGCGUGUAUGAGUAGGGCCUUAGGGUUGUAAAGUACUUUCAGCGGGGAGGCGGUACCCGCAGAAGAAGCACCGGCUAACUCCGUGCCAGCCGCCGCGGUAAUUC
rnacentral:rRNA from 1 species